GAAAUAGAAAUGUAUUUUUUCAUGAACAUUUUGAUACAAAUUUCAUCAUUUAAUGAUUCACCAAUUUCUUGCAUUAAUUUGAAUUUAAGCAUUUAAUUCAAAGAGAGGGGAGCAUCCAUUAUUGAUACAUGUGGGCUUUUAAAAACUCCAUCCUUUAUAAAUAGUCAAGGUUUGGGCCACACAAAGUAUAUUUUUAUCAUGGAAAAAUUUCAACUCCUCAAGCCGUAAUGUUGAACAGAAUUGGAGUAUUUUCUUUAUA
rnacentral:misc_RNA from 1 species